CAAGAUAGUACCCUUAACAUCAAACACUUUGUGACCUCUCUUUCCGUGGGUCUGCCGGAGCGACACUCAUCAGGAAGAGCACAGCGAACUUAAACCCCAUUGCGACCACCACCACUGCCCAACUUCCCGCGUACUUGUGCAUUAUUGCCCCGAUAAAACUUCCAGUAAUCAUUGCCAACACAUAGCCCAGCCUUCGAUUUCUGGCCCCAGCCUUCUUAUGGGUAAAGCCCACAAAGAGAUAUCUAUCGCCGACAAGGUCAACAUAAGAGGACGUCAUGGGCGCAGUGGGGAUUUCUUGCACUGAGGCUUGACGUGCAGCAGCUACCUGCGCUCCAGACAUCAUCGCAAACAACAUGAUAAUUGUCCAGUCAUGUUUGUUUCCCAGUCGGGUAGCUGCAGGACCUGAUGGGGAAAGGAAAAUAGCCGCUAGGGUGAGGCAGACAAUCUGGAAGAAGACGUUUGUCAAAAGCCAAGCCCGGCGCCUCAAACCUGUAGACUCUUAAUUAGUUGUCAAGUUCUCGGCUCUGCGUGUAUCCAUAACUUACCGAAUAAAUGUCCAAGAUGCCCGAAUACCAAAGCACCACCAAGGAAACUGGCGAGCGAUACACCAGUGAGAAGAAGUAGAUGGCCGGACAGUCGAACAAUAGCAACGGUAAGAAGAAUUGUGUUACCCGUUUCUGCUUGGCAUUAGACGCCUUGUCAAUGCGCAAAUCGUAGGACUCACGGUUGGAGGCAAAAGUGCUGAAGUCUAAGGACGUGGUUGCAUCCAAGAUACUGCGACAACAAUCAGCUCUGCGUCACUUUAGAUAUCACAAAAUUCGCUCACCCCGUGGAAAAGGCUUGGAUGAUCAGACUCCAUACCAGUGAAUCAGCGGUGACAGUGUCCCCCAUCCACCCGGACCAGCCGUCCCGUCUUUUCCAAGGUGGCCACACAACAGCUACUGAUGUGUCAGGGACGUCUAUAUUCUUUUCGUUGAUCGCCCCCGAGUUAUCAGUGCUUUGUGGCUCUUGCCACGUAUGAUUUGCUGUUCGGCUCAUCCCAACAUCGUCAUAUUUGAAUACGGGGGUUGGAUGAGAGGAUAGCGGAGGUAUAGCGGAGGGGCAAGUUAAAGAACGAUGUAUUGUGGGUAGUGGACUUGACAUCGUUGAAGAAUCUGAAGCAGUCGCGAAGAGAGCCGUAGUUGAGGUCGGCACGGAGUCGGAGGGUGACACAGUCGGUGCGAGGUAGAGUGUGUUCAUCGGAGAUCGGUAAGAUAGAAUUCUGUGUGUUCAAUCAAUGUAUAAUUGUCGAAAGAGGAU
rnacentral:sRNA from 1 species